GAGUUUGAUCCUGGCUCAGAACGAACGCUGGCGGCGUGCCUCAGACAUGCAAGUCGAACGCGAAAGUUCCUUCGGGAGACAAGUAGAGUGGCGCACGGGUGAGUAACACGUAGGUAAUCUACCUUCGGAUGGGGAAUAACAAUCGGAAACGAUUGCUAAUACCGCAUAAUGCAGCGGCACCUAAUGGUGACAGUUGUUAAAGCGGGGGAUCGAAAGACCUCGCGUCUGAAGAGGAGCCUGCGGCGGAUUAGCUAGUUGGUAAGGUAAUGGCUUACCAAGGCAACGAUCCGUAACCGGCCUGAGAGGGCGGUCGGUCACACUGACACUGACAUACGGGUCAGACUCCUACGGGAGGCAGCAGUCGGGAAUUUUGGGCAAUGGGCGAAAGCCUGACCCAGCAACGCCGCGUGAAGGAUGAAAUCCCUCGGGAUGUAAACUUCGCAAGAACGGGAAGAAUAAGUAGGGGACAAUACCCCCUAUGAUGACGGUACCGUUUGUAAGCUCCGGCUAACUCCGUGCCAGCAGCCGCGGUAAUACGUAGGGUGCGAGCGUUAAUCGGAAUUACUGGGCGUAAAGGGUGCGCAGGCGGUCUCGUAAGCUGGGUGUGAAAGCCCCGGGCUUAACCUGGGAAUGGCAUUCAGGACUGCGAGGCUUUGAGUGCGGCAGAGGGAGGUGGAAUUCCACGUGUAGCAGUGAAAUGCGUAGAGAUGUGGAGGAACACCGAUGGCGAAGGCAGCCUCCUGGGCCAGCACUGACGCUCAUGCACGAAAGCGUGGGGAGCAAACAGGAUUAGAUACCCUGGUAGUCCACGCCCUAAACGAUGUCAACUGGUUGUUGGUGGGGUUAAACCCAUUAGUAACGAAGCUAACGCGUGAAGUUGACCGCCUGGGGAGUACGGCCGCAAGGUUAAAACUCAAAGGAAUUGACGGGGACCCGCACAAGCGGUGGAUGAUGUGGAUUAAUUCGAUGCAACGCGAAGAACCUUACCUACCCUUGACAUGCCAGGGAGCUCGAUGAGAGUCGAGUGUGCCCGAAAGGGAGCCUGGACACAGGUGCUGCAUGGCUGUCGUCAGCUCGUGUCGUGAGAUGUUGGGUUAAGUCCCGCAACGAGCGCAACCCUUGUCACUAGUUGCUACGAAAGGGCACUCUAGUGAGACUGCCGGUGACAAACCGGAGGAAGGUGGGGAUGACGUCAAGUCAGUAUGGCCCUUACGGCCUGGGCUGCACACGUACUACAAUGCCCAGCACAGAACGAUCCAAGACCGCGAGGUGGAGGAAAUCACUAAAACUGGGCCCAGUUCAGAUUGGAGUCUGCAACUCGACUCCAUGAAGCCGGAAUCGCUAGUAAUGGCGUAUCAGCUACGACGCCGUGAUACGUUCCCGGGCCUUGUACACAC
rnacentral:rRNA from 1 species